rnacentral:rRNA from 1 species
UGGGGAAUAUUGGACAAUGGGCGCAAGCCUGAUCCAGCCAUGCCGCGUGAGUGAUGAAGGCCCUAGGGUUGUAAAGCUCUUUCACCGGUGAAGAUAAUGACGGUAACCGGAGAAGAAGCCCCGGCUAACUUCGUGCCAGCAGCCGCGGUAAUACGAAGGGGGCUAGAGUUGUUCGGAUUUACUGGGCGUAAAGCGCACGUAGGCGGACUUUUAAGUCAGGGGUGAAAUCCCGGGGCUCAACCCCGGAACUGCCUUUGAUACUGGAAGUCUUGAGUAUGGUAGAGGUGAGUGGAAUUCCGAGUGUAGAGGUGAAAUUCGUAGAUAUUCGGAGGAACACCAGUGGCGAAGGCGGCUCACUGGACCAUUACUGACGCUGGGGUGCGAAAGCGUGGGGAGCAAACAGG